rnacentral:rRNA from 1 species
CUACGGGGUGCACCAGUGAGGAAUAUUGCACAAUGGGGGGAACCCUGAUGCAGCAACGCCGCGUGGAGGAUGACGCAUUUCGGUGUGUAAACUCCCUUUAUAUGUCAAGAGAAUGACGGUAGCAUAUGAAUAAGCACCGGCUAACUCCGUGCCAGCAGCCGCGGUAAUACGGAGGGUGCAAGCGUUACUCGGAAUCACUGGGCGUAAAGGACGCGUAGGCGGGUUGGAAAGUCAGGUGUGAAAUCCUACAGCUUAACUGUAGAACUGCACUUGAAACUUCUAAUCUAGAGUAUGGGAGGGGGAGAUGGAAUUAGUGGUGUAGGGGUAAAAUCCGUAGAUAUCACUAGGAAUACCUAAAGCGAAGGCGAUCUCCUGGAACAUUACUGACGCUAAGGCGUGAAAGCGUGGGGAGCAAACAGGAUUAGAUACCCUCGUAGUC